rnacentral:rRNA from 1 species
AUUGAACGCUGGCGGCAGGCCUAACACAUGCCAGUCGAGCGGAUGAAGGGAGCUUGCUCCUGGAUUCAGCGGCGGACGGGUGAGUAAUGCCUAGGAAUCUGCCUGGUAGUGGGGGAUAACGUCCGGAAACGGGCGCUAAUACCGCAUACGUCCUGAGGGAGAAAGUGGGGGAUCUUCGGACCUCACGCUAUCAGAUGAGCCUAGGUCGGAUUAGCUAGUUGGUGGGGUAAAGGCCUACCAAGGCGACGAUCCGUAACUGGUCUGAGAGGAUGAUCAGUCACCCUGGAACUGAGACACGGUCCAGACUCCUACGGGAGGCAGCAGUGGGGAAUAUUGGACAAUGGGCGAAAGCCUGAUCCAGCCAUGCCGCGUGUGUGAAGAAGGUCUUCGGAUUGUAAAGCACUUUAAGUCGGGAGGAAGGGCAGUAAGUUAAUACCUUGCUGUUUUGACGUUACCAACAGAAUAAGCACCGGCUAACUUCGUG